UACGUAGGGGGCGAGCGUUGUCCGGAUUUAUUGGGCGUAAAGAGCUCGUAGGCGGUUUGGCAAGUCGGGUGUGAAAACUCCGGCUCAACUCGGAGACGCCACUCGAUACUGCCAUGACUCGAGUCCGGUAGGGAGUGCGGAAUUCCUGGUGUAGCGGUGAAAUGCGCAGAUAUCAGGAGGAACACCGGUGGCGAAGGCGGCACUCUGGGCCGGUACUGACGCUGAGGAGCGAAAGCAUGGGGAGCGAACAGG
rnacentral:rRNA from 1 species